GCAACAGUGGCAAAGAGGGAAAUAUUGCAGACAAUGAGCAAAACGAUUUCAAAACCUCGAGCAUCUAGGAAAGAAAAUGGACCAGUUGUAGAAACAGUAAAGGUUCCAUUAUCAAAACGAGCAAAAUUCAUUGGGCCUGGUGGAUAUCACUUAAAAAAACUCCAGGCUGAGACAGGUAAGAGUUAUCUCUAGUCUGAGGGUAUUAUUAAGUCCAAACCAUGUAAGUAUGCUAUUUUAUCUCUACUGUAUUACUCUAGGAAUAGAAUUUGAGAGAUAAAAGAAAAACCAGAAGAAAAGUAUAAUGUAUUUACUAUGAGUUUUCUGUGGGAC
rnacentral:lncRNA from 1 species